rnacentral:snoRNA from 1 species
AGCCUUCUGGUGAUUCCCACAGGCUGUGCUCCUACACUUACUGUAGAGAAAAAGUAGGCAAAGUAGACCUAUCCCAUAUAAACCUCAGCCCAGUCCUAUGCUUAGUCAAUAUUGUGAAUGGGAGACAUAG